UACGAGCGGCCCAAACGUUAUUCGGAAUUACUGGGCUUAAAGAGUUCGUAGGCGGCAUGAAAAGCAGGGUGUGAAAGCCCUCGGCUCAACCGAGGAAUUGCGCUCUGAACUGUCGUGCUUGAGGAACCUAGAGGUGAGCAGAACAGAUGGUGGAGCGGUGAAAUGCGUUGAUAUCAUCUGGAAUACCGGAGGCGAAGGCGGCUCACUGGGGGUUUUCUGACGCUGAGGAACGAAAGCCAGGGUAGCGAACGGG
rnacentral:rRNA from 1 species